CAAUUUUGUCAACGGAGAAUAUCUACAGAAUGACACUGAAAUGGAUAUUCGGCACAAUGAAAUGGAUAAUCGGCAAAAUGAAAUUGACAAUCGAUCGGUACAAUGAAAUUGACAUUCGAUCUGCACAAUGAAAUGGACCAUCGCACAAUGAAAUUGAUAAUGAUCGAUCGGCACAAUGAAAUGGACAAUCGGCACAAUAGACAAAAUGUAUAGAAUUACCUUUUAGAAGUCUAUCAUUGGUACUUUUGAAUACAGUCUCCAAAGAUUGUAGGGUGCUAUGAAAGAAAGUUGUGGUUUAACACUAGGCGUACUAGAUAAACAUCUAUCAAUAAAAACAC
rnacentral:lncRNA from 1 species